GCGUAAUUGGUUUAGUGGUAAAAUUCUCCGUUGCCAUUCAGUUUCCUACGAAACCGAGUAAGCUCGGGGAGCCCUGGGUUCGAUUCCCAGAUUACGCA
rnacentral:tRNA from 1 species